GAGAGAGAGAGGUGAAUGGAGGCAAUUGCCGGGGCUCUGGGAGCCGGAAUGUAAAUGACUCCAGUAGGUAGCCCCAAGAUGGCGCUGGGUGUCACGAA